rnacentral:ncRNA from 1 species
UAUCUGAAAAUUGUUGUCAUAGGGUUAUUGCAAUGCUUUCUUCUUGUUGUAAUAUAGUUUAUUGCAACAGUUCUUAUUCGUUGCUAUAGAUAAUACGAAAUGUCAUAAUAGGAGUUAGAAAAAUCGUUGCAAUAGGUCUAUCUAUUGCAACGAUUGGCGUAACCGUCGCAAUAACUGUUGCAAUGGACCUAUUCUUACGCUCACAUAUACAAUGCUUGUUGAAUCGUUGUGGUACAUCUAUGGCAACAGUUUCUUUAUCAGUCACAACGAUUUUUGAACCGUUGCCAAAGGGGAUUUCUAGUUGUGAUAGUGGCAUACCAUGGGUGGUGAAAGGCGAUAGAAUUAGGGUUCGAUUUUGGAGAGGGAGCCUGAGAAACUGCUAUCAUAUCAAAGCAAGGCAGCAGACGUGCAAAUUACCCAAUUCUGACACGGGGUGACAAUAAAUAACAAUACCUGACUCAGUGAGUCUGGUAGUUGAAACGAGUACAAUCUAAAUCCCCUAACGUGAAUUCAUUAGAGGGCAGGUCUGGUGCCAGCAGUCGCGGUAAUUCCAGCUCUAAUAGCGUAUAUUUAAGUUGUUGCAGUUAAGAAGCUUGUAGUUGGAUUUUGGGAUGGGCCGGAUAGUCCGCCAAUGGUGGGCACAGGUCACCUCGUCCCUUCUAUCGGCAAUGCGCUCCUGACCUCAAUUGACCGAGUCGCUAUUACUUAGAAGAAAUUAGAGUGUUCAAAGCAAGCCUAUUUUCACGAGCCUAAUUUUUAGACAUAUGCGUACAGUCUAACAAGCUAAAAUUCUUCGUUGAACUAAGUACCUCACGAAAUUAUUCCCAAGAAAGCUAAGAACAUUC